GCAGCAAGAGGAGCAACAGCAGCGAGCAUCAUGCAAUUUCUGUUUGCAUUUUACAUUCAGCUGCGUGUUGCUAUCGAAAUACCUGUGGUGAUCUUCCCUUUUGUUCGCUCCUCAACUGUCGACUGACAGCUGUUGACAGAAUGAGAUGCAAAGCGCAACAAAAAACGGUAGAGUAAGAGAAGGAGAGAGGCAGAUAGACAACCAUACUCAACAUGCAACUCAUGCCACAUUGUAUUAUAUCCAUCAAACAGAUGCACAACAACAAACAACGAGCAACAAACAA